CCUACCCAUAAGAGGGGGAUAACAGCUGGAAACGGCUGCUAAUACCGCAUAAGCUUUUUAGGACGUAUGUUUUAGAAAGUAAAGGAGGCGCAAGCUUCCGCUUAUGGAUGGGCCCGCGUCUGAUUAGCUAGUUGGUAGGGUAGAGGCCUACCAAGGCAACGAUCAGUAGCCGGCCUGAGAGGGUGGACGGCCACACUGGGACUGAGAACGGCCCAGACUCCUACGGGAGGCAGCAGUGGGGAAUAUUGCGCAAUGGGGGAAACCCUGACGCAGCGACGCCGCGUGAGCGAAGAAGGCCUUCGGGUUGUAAAGCUCUGUUGUAAGGGACGAAUGUCUAGGGUAGUAACUGACCUUAGAAUGACGGUACCUUACCAGCAAGCCCCGGCUAACUACGUGCCAGCAGCCGCGGUAAGACGUAGGGGGCGAGCGUUGUCCGGAAUUACUGGGCGUAAAGAGCACGUAGGCGGAUGUAUAAGUCAGGUGUGAAAGACCGCAGCCUAACUGCGGGAUUGCACUUGAAACUGUAUAUCUUGAGGGCAGGAGAGGUCAGUAAAAUUCCUGGUGUAACGGUGAAAUGCGUAGAAAUCAAGAGGAAUAUCCGUGGUGAAGGCGAUUGACUG
rnacentral:rRNA from 1 species